UGUUGAUCAUAAGGCGGUUUUAUAUCUCUCUAAUUCUCAACGUGUAGAUGGACAUUUUUUUCUAAAAGAGUCACUGAAGGAAAGAAGAGAGAAAGGGAGCUGAAGGAGAGAGACGCUGCUGAUGGAGCAGAUCUGCCAGCUACAUCCUUCUUUCUCUUCAUGUCUACAAGAGACUAAGCCAUGCUGUGGGCAAGGCCAUGCUGACCAGCUGCCAGCCAUCCUUCUGCUCCUGAACCCAGCCCAUCCUCUCCAGGAGAGAUAAAGGGCCUUCUGUAUAGCAACUGCCUAGACAAAGAACUUCAUGAAGUAUUUUUUUCUUCUCUAUUUCACCUCUGAGGGCAGUUGGUGAAUAAAAAUGGCUGUUUUUGGA